CAGUCGCCGCGGUAAUACGGAGGGUGCGAGCGUUAAUCGGAAUAACUGGGCGUAAAGGGCACGCAGGCGGUGACUUAAGUGAGGUGUGAAAGCCCCGGGCUUAACCUGGGAAUUGCAUUUCAUACUGGGUCGCUAGAGUACUUUAGGGAGGUGUAGAAUUCCACGUGUAGCGGUGAAAUGCGUAGAGAUGUGGAGGAAUACCGAAGGCGAAGGCAGCCCCUUGGGAAUGUACUGACGCUCAUGUGCGAAAGCGUGGGGAGCAAACAGGAUUAGAUACCCGAGUAGUCCCUGUCUCUUAUAU
rnacentral:rRNA from 1 species